GUGGGGAAUUUUGGACAAUGGGCGCAAGCCUGAUCCAGCCAUUCCGCGUGAGUGAAGAAGGCCUUCGGGUUGUAAAGCUCUUUCGGCAGGGAAGAAAUCGUGCGGGUUAAUAACCUGUAUGGAUGACGGUACCUGAAGAAGAAGCACCGGCUAACUACGUGCCAGCAGCCGCGGUAAUACGUAGGGUGCGAGCGUUAAUCGGAAUUACUGGGCGUAAAGCGUGCGCAGGCGGUUUUUUAAGCCAGAUGUGAAAGCCCCGGGCUCAACCUGGGAACUGCGUUUGGAACUGAAAGACUAGAGUGUGUCAGAGGGAGGUGGAAUUCCACGUGUAGCAGUGAAAUGCGUAGAGAUGUGGAGGAACACCGAUGGCGAAGGCAGCCUCCUGGGAUAACACUGACGCUCAUGCACGAAAGCGUGGGGAGCAAACAGGAUUAGAAACCCGUGUAGUCC
rnacentral:rRNA from 1 species